AAUGAACGCUGGCGGUAUGCCUAACACAUGCAAGUCGAACGAGUGGCGGACGGGUGAGGAAUACAUCGGAAUCUACUCUGUCGUGGGGGAUAACGUAUGGAAAAUUACGCUAAUACCGCAUACGAUUGAAUGAGCCGAUGUCGGAUUAGCUAGUUGGCGGGGUCAAGGCACACCAAGGCGACGAUCCGUAGCUGGUCUGAGAGGAGGAUCAGCCACACUGGAACUGAGACACGGUCCAGACUCCUACGGGAGGCAGCAGUGGGGAAUCUUGGACAAUGGGCGAAAGCCUGAUCCAGCAAUGCCGCGUGUGUGAAGAAGGUCUUCGGAUUGUAAAGCACUUUAAGUUGGGAGGCGGUACCAACAGAAUAAGCACCGGCUAACUUCGUGCCAGCAGCCGCGGUAAUAC
rnacentral:rRNA from 1 species